UGUUUAUUAGAUUUGGGUUAGUUCCAACGUUGGAAAAAACUUUCUAUUGUAUUUUUUUGUGUUUUGUGUUUAGUUUAUUUAUAUUAUUGUUGUUUUAUUUAUUAUUUGCGUUUUUUUGUUUGGUAAGAGUUUUACUAUAGGCAACCAGUUGCACACAUACACAACCUGCAUUGCACAAUGACUAAACAUAGAAAUUGAAUGUAACAUUUACUUUUCUAGAAGUUUCUUGAAUUUAUUGGCAAGUUGCAUUAAAUUGUUACAUCAAAACACUUUGUGAAGCAUUUAUACUAGUUAAAGAUGCUUAUUUUGCUGUAGAAGUGUUAAAUUCAAGUAAGUUUUGUAAAAAAUUUACGAAUGUCAUUCAAAUAACCUUAAAAUUGUCAUGUCAAAUGCAGCAGUUGUGUGUGUAUCACUAUAGGCAACCCACAUCACGCUUUACGCUCCACAACCACUAUAAAAACAACGCAGUUAUUUUCCAACGCAUAAAAUUCAUCUUUACCUGCAUCAAACGCGCUACAUUUCGACCGCCGUCGUUGUUUCAUUGUCUUCAGAUAAUAAUCCAUUGUAUCACCCAGUUUGUCUUUAAUUUUAACUUAAUUCACGCACUAAUCUAACCUUAAAUAUUUAUUUUAAAGUUAAAAAACACUACAAAAAUCAUGUAAUAUUGACUGCACUUCGUAAAAACCACGUUGAAACUAUUAUUAUUCUGUUUAUCGACUCAGCGUAGGCUGAGUUAAAAGUGAUAAGAACAAAAAGCAAUAUUUGGCAUUUGGUGUUUAUUGUGCAACGCACACCUGUUCGCAAAAGAUGAUAACACAUAAAUGCAAAUGAAUAAUAAUCAAUACAGACGUUUAUGUUAAUUUAUUUAUUUAUUAUGUUAACAUUCUUCAACAAAAACUGAGUCAAGUUAAUAUCUUAUUCAAAAAAUAAAAUGUUUUAAACCUUUGACCCUUCGUAAAAUAAUUCGUCGGCAUUUCUGUUGAUUAUUUUCACGGUCACACGUGUCUAUAAUUCCAGUGCUAAUAAUAAGCACGUUUGGUUGCCUGCCUUAAACGCCAGAAUAUAAUAACAGUGAUUUCAACUCUCAACAGUUUUUGUGUUUUGUGUGCAUUGCUAUGAAUGCGUUCGCGAAGGGUGAGACAGCAGAGUAUGGGGAGAGUGUGGGUCGUGACUGGCCUGUGUGCGCGCGCACACACACCGCUGUAGUGCAUCAAUUAACCGCCGUCGACGCGCCGUUUGACAGCCGACACGUUUUGCUUUUAACCCGCCCGCCUCCUCCUUCAUAAAUAAAUCCGCGCGCCCGGUUCAUGCAUAUUCACCGGGCGCUAAUGAAAGUUUCACCGCGCGCGCACACCCCCACCAUCGCGUCAUUGAUGCAGUUUGCGAUCUCUAUCAGCGCGCUCGUCACGUCCACUGACAGCCGACUGACAUCUUGACACUGCUACAUUCGCCGACUGCAGCCGAAUGCACUGUGUGAGGUUAGGUUUAUAAAUGCAUCAAUUUCAAUUAGCAGAGAGCGAGAGAGCGGUGGACAGACGUCGACCCGGCUGGCAUAUUAUAUCGUUUUCCAUUUGCGAUUUACUCGAUUUGCUGCAUUAUCGUAAAUUACGCGCAGUCACUCUCACACUCGGCGGUUGGUAUAUAUGCAACCCAAUGUACAUGUGACUGAAUGUGUGGAAAUGGAAACAUCACAAGUGCAUCACAACUGCAUCGCAAAUUAAUGAAUAUUCAGCGUGGAUUUGCGUUUAAAAAGUUAUAUUUACCCGCACGGAUGUCAUUUUGUUUGACACCAUUGGUGGCCAUCUUUUUCGUAUAUAAAACACUAUAGUGACGCACAGUGUGCUCUUGAAGUGGUAGAAGUGGACUGAAGCAGAAUGUUGAUCACGAC